rnacentral:lncRNA from 1 species
UACCUGGAAGUCGUUCUUGACUGCGUGAAGGUCAUACACAAAGAGCUUCUGGCAGUGAGGCAGGAGGAGGGCGAGCAGGAGGGAGAGGGCACUGGGGACCAGCAGAAGGCUCUUCGACAGAGGCGCCUUGUCGAGCCCACUGGAGCCGGUGCUGGUGAACAUGGUCCCGCCGGGCUCGGAGCCCCAGAGGGCGCCGGGGGAGGGGAAGCUGAAGUGCGAGCCCCAGCGACCGCGCAGGCGCACUCUUGGCGGAGCGACGAAUCCGGCGCCGCGAGGCCACUCGCCGGGGGAAGGGAAGUGCGUCGGUAGGGGAGGGCUCACCUCUCCAGGUUGAAACGAUGGCGGUCAGAACCGCCUGAGGUAAAAACGGGUGGCACUGGGGAAGCGGAGGCGUAGCUCCCGAGAGCCUCACACUUGUGCUCAGUGCCGCCUCACCCCUGGUGGAUCCGCGAUGGCCGCGGAUUCCCCUGGAUUGCCGGCGCUGGGCAGGAGCGCCACUUCUAAUCUCUCCCGAGACUGGACGCCCGGCGCCUUCCACGCGCGUUGUGUCUUUCCGGGCGGUCCCUCGAAGCUGGCUACCCCGCGGGCUGUUGACUGCAGUGGGAUCUGGUCACUCAGAUGCGGAUAGAGGGCUAAAUGCAAGAUGGUAUGGCAUCCAGACUCUGCUCAUAAGUAUCUGCAGUGAUCCAUACCUUGAUUGUACAUCUACUCUGCAUCCUGAGGACCUGAACAUGCUAACUGGUGGCUGCAGAUUUGUCUUCUAAGGAGCAAGUGUGGUCUGUGGACAGGCAGCUUCAGCCUCACCUGGGAUUUUGUUUGCACUAGAAAGUGCCAAGCCCUACCCUAGACCUAUUAAAGCAGAACUGGCGUUUAACAAGACACCCCAGGUAAUUUGUGUGCACCUUAGAGUCUGAGAUGCACUAGUGUAGUGAUUCGCAGGGGGACAAUUUUGACCUCCAGGGGACAAUAUCUGGAGACAUUUUUGGGUGUCACAACGUGCUGGGGAGAGGGUGCUACUGGCAUCUAAUGGGCUGAGGCCAAGGGUGCUGCUAAACAUCUGGCAAUACCGGGCCAACCUCCCCCCUCCUCCUGCCCACAGUAAAGAAUUACCCCGCCUGGAUUGUCAGUAGUGCAGAGGUAGAGGAAACCCUACACCUGUGAAACUCAUCUGACCUUUACUAUGAAUUCCUGGAUCUCCUGGUGCAUAUCAUUUCUGUUGCCCUGGCUGACAUUUCCACCUUUUCUCUUUUCUAGAUUUUAUUACAAGAACUCAAUCUGUUGGUCUCUAGGAAUCACCUAUUGCCUUGCUAUGUUUUGUUGAACCUGUUUUUGAAUCUGCUUUCUACAUUGGGGAAAUAGGUAUACGUUUGUAAACCUUAAAAGCUCUGUAUGCUAUAAGGAAAUCACCAGACACGUGGAUAAGCUUUGCAGAGGUGAAGGGCUGUCUCCACCAGAGAGACCCAGAAGGAGUCAGGGUAAGCCUGACUCAUCAUGAGAUCAGGUAUCCCCAAUCCACAGCGGACUUCCACAGUUCACCUUCCUAGGUAACCGCUCUGCCUUCCCAGGUAAAGUAGGAAUAAUAUCAGAACUUACAGCAUAUUUUGAGGUCAAAUUGUAGAAUUUGGUGAUUUCAUUUUUAUUAUUACUCAACCUUUUAUUUACAACCAAAUUAAUAAGGCUACUUACACAUAACAAUGUGUGGACAUACACAUUAAGAGAAUCAUUUGCUGCCUAGCACUCCUACCUAGGUACUUUAAGAACAUCAUUGAGUGGAUACUCCCUCUGCUGGGUAAAAUACUUUGCCACAAUAUCAGCUGAAAUGAUACCUCUUCCAGACUGUAAUGGCAGAAGUAGUUAUCCCCUCUUUCGUGCUGUCAUCACACUUGAUGCAUGCCUACUUUAUAAUACUUAUGCCAUUGUCUCUGUUAUUGGGUUUCUGUCUUCUACUGUGAAAGGGUGAGCCCAUAAAAAACAGGGAAUGUGUCUUUCAAAGGGUCUGGCCCCUGACUGCAGACUUCUAAUGGAAAGGAAAAGAGACUCUAACACAAUCUGCUAAUUAACCCACAGGUUGGAUUGAGAAGGAAAAAAAUCCACCUGAAUUCUUAAGAUAAAAUGUAUCAUUUAAAUAAUUAUUCUGGGUCUCUGCUUCUCCUGUUUGACAAGACAGCCGCAUC